UACGGGGGGGGCAAGCGUUGUUCGGAAUUACUGGGCGUAAAGGGCUCGUAGGCGGUUUGUCACGUCGGGAGUGAAAACUCGGGGCUCAACCCCGAGCCUGCUUCCGAUACGGGCAGACUAGAGGUAUGCAGGGGAGAAUGGAAUUCCUGGUGUAGCGGUAAAAUGCGCAGAUAUCAGGAGGAACACCGGUGGCGAAGGCGGUUCUCUGGGCAUUACCUGACGCUGAGGAGCGAAAGUGUGGGGAGCGAACAGG
rnacentral:rRNA from 1 species